CCAGCAGCUGCGGUAAUUCCAGCUCCAAUAGCGUAUAUUUCAGUUGUUGCAGUUAAAAAGCUCGUAGUUGGAUUUCGGGCGGGUGACGGCGGUCCGCCUCUGGUGUGCACUGCUGCUCAUCCGCCUUACUGUCGGGGACGGGCUCCUGGGCUUCACUGUCCGGGACCCGGGUUCGACAUGGUUACUUUGAGUAAAUUAGAGUGUUCAAAGCAGGCGUUCGCCCUGAAUACAUUAGCAUGGAAUAGGACGAUAGGACUCUGGCGUAUUCUGCUGGUCUGUAGGGCCGGAGUAAUGAUUAAGAGGGACAGUCGGGGGCAUUCGUAUUUCAUUGUCAGAGGUGAAAUUCUUGGAUUUAUGAAAGACGAACCACUGCGAAAGCAUUUGCCAAGGAUGUUUUCA
rnacentral:rRNA from 1 species